GCUAGUGUGGCAGAGCUAGGCUAAUGCAAAAGAUCUAAGCCCUUUUCACAGAGGUUCAACUCCUCUCUCUAACU
rnacentral:tRNA from 1 species